rnacentral:rRNA from 1 species
GAUGAACGCUGGCGGCGUGCCUAAUACAUGCAAGUCGAGCGAACAGAUGAGAAGCUUGCUUCUCUGAUGUUAGCGGCGGACGGGUGAGUAACACGUGGGUAACCUACCUAUAAGACUGGGAUAACUCCGGGAAACCGGGGCUAAUACCGGAUAAUAUUUUGAACCGCAUGGUUCAAUAGUGAAAGGCGGUUUCGGCUGUCACUUAUAGAUGGACCCGCGCCGUAUUAGCUAGUUGGUAAGGUAACGGCUUACCAAGGCGACGAUACGUAGCCGACCUGGGAGGGUGAUCGGCUACACUGGAACUGAGAAACGGUCCAGACUCCUACGGGAGGCAGCAGUAGGGAAUCUUCCGCAAUGGGCGAAAGCCUGACGGAGCAACGCCGCGUGAGUGAUGAAGGUCUUCGGAUCGUAAAACUCUGUUGUUAGGGAAGAACAAAUUUGUUAGUAACUGAACAAGUCUUGACGGUACCUAACCAGAAAGCCACGGCUAACUACGUGCCAGCAGCCGCGGUAA